rnacentral:rRNA from 1 species
AUUGAACGCUGGCGGCAUGCCUUACACAUGAAAGUCGAACGGCAGCGGGCCUUCGGGUGCCGGCGAGUGGCGAACGGGUGAGUAAUGCAUCGGAACGUGCCAUUGAGUGGGGGAUAACGUAGCGAAAGUUACGCUAAUACCGCAUAUUCUGUGAGCAGGAAAGCAGGGGACCGCAAGGCCUUGCGCUCUUUGAGCGGCCGAUGUCAGAUUAGCUAGUUGGUGAGGUAAAGGCUUACCAAGGCGACGAUCUGUAGCGGGUCUGAGAGGAUGAUCCGCCACACUGGAACUGAGACACGGUCCAGACUCCUACGGGAGGCAGCAGUGGGGAAUUUUGGACAAUGGGCGCAAGCCUGAGUCCAGCCAUGCCGCGUGAGUGAAGAAGGCCUUC